UUUCCGUAGGUGAACCUGCGGAAGGAUCAUUACAGAGUAACUUGGUCGCGAGACCGAUUACCCGUCCUUGUGUCAUCUGUUUUUUCAAACACCACACUUCCCAGGAGGUGUCGCAGCGAUGCGACCGCCUGGGGUCUUUUUUACAAACUCUUGUGAAAACUUGAAGUCUGAAUUUUAAUCAAAAAAUGAAAAGCAAAACUUUCAACAACGGAUCUCUUGGCUCUGGCAUCGAUGAAGAACGCAGC
rnacentral:misc_RNA from 1 species